GCGGUGGUGGAAGAGGUGGUGGAAGAGGAGGUGGAGGAGAGGAAAUGCAAGUGCAUCUAAGCGCCGAGUGGCGUCGUACUUGUUGCGUCACUCUGUGACGUUGCAACACACAGAGUAGCGACUGUCAAUUCAUUGAGCUUUUGUAGGUAGCAAAAAUUAGACACUAAGGGAUUUUUUGGAGCGACGAUAACAACACCUGAGGAUGGCGGAAAGUGAAAAGUUUUGAGUGCAAACAACAACAACAACAAGAAGAUGCGACGACGCGCCGGGGAUUAUUAACAAAUUUAAAACAAAAGUUAUUUUAUUCUGCGAAUGUGAUAAAAUUAAUUUAAUGAAUUAAUUCAAGUGCAAACGAACUUUACGAAACAUAA